GACCGUAGGCGUUGGAUCACUCGGCUCGUGCGUCGAUGAAGAGCGCGGCCUGACGCGUUAAGUGAUGUGAAUUGCAGUGAAGAUCAUCGACGUCUCGAACGCACAUGGCGGCAGCGGGUCCUCCCGCGGCCACGUUCGUCCGAGGGCCG
rfam:Amphimedon queenslandica AMPQTscaffold_10736_Cont16366, whole genome shotgun sequence.